CUUGCCUGGGCUCCCCCCACCCCGAACCCACCCGCGUCCCCACGCAAAGCUUUUCCCGGGUGGUUCUUCCCCCCUGUGGGCUUUCGGCUUGAGUUGGCGAUGUUUAAAGCCCCUAGGGGUUUGGUUUCGUUCGGCGGUACCUUUAAAGCUACAGCCCUGGAGAGGUUUCCCGGGAUGGGCCCUGUCGCCAAGUCAAGGUGAUGAUUAAAAUGCCUGUUAAGGAUGUAACUCAGUCCUUUGGUCUUGCAGUGUCUCUUGCAAUGCCUGCUGCAAGAAAACAUUUAAACAAAAGAAAGCAGAAGAAUCACAGUGAUGAAUUGUGCCUGGUUUUGCCAUUAAAAAGGGGAAGAAUCAAGGAAAGAAACACUAUUCCCUGCAAACAGCAACCACCUCUUUCUGCUCCUCUUUGAAAAUGUUUUAACAGAGGCUACAUAAAUGGUUUAACACCAAGCAUCUCUCUGAGUGAAUCUCUUGAGAUCCUGUGUGCCCAGAUUUCAGAUUCUGCUCCCAUCCUUUUACUGGCUCAAGACCCCCAUGGGAUGCUCUCAGCAGCAGCUUGGAAGAUGCAGUCUGCAAAGGAACACUGGAAUACAGGUGCAGCCAAGAGAUGGAAGCAGAGCAUUGACAAAGGUUGAAUUUCAAAUCUUUUAUUAUUUAGCUUUGCCAAACAGAUAAUGGAAUCUGAAGUUGAUUUGCUAAAAUGUUUUGUAGUGAAUGCCACCCCUGCCUGAGGCAAAGAGGGUCUCAGUGGCAGCAGGGGGGCUUAGGCUAUGGCAGCAGUUCAAAAGAACACUUUUCAUUUUGUAUGCAACAAUGUAAACUUCAAAAAUAGUAAACUAUAACC